rnacentral:lncRNA from 1 species
UAGUAUUCCAUUGUGUAUAUAUACCACAUCUUCUUGAUCCAUUCAUCUGUUGAUGGACAUCUAGGUUCUUUCCAGGCUCAGACAAGAUAUCAGGUCCCCCAACCUCCUUUGGAGACAAGCGCUCCUUCUCUGUGCUCUCAAACCACUGCAGUUGACCUUCCACCAUAUUGAAUCUAUUGAGUCUAUCCAUGAGUCUGGACUUUGCCCUGCCUACAGGGCAUAUUUGGACCCGAACCAGAGUGGUAACUAGGAAAUGUUUGUCGAUCUAAACAAAAACCAGAGCAAGAAACUUCCUGCUGACCUCUAGGCAUUUUUGAGGUUCAGAUGAGCCUCGGAUAGCAGGUGUUGGGAAGUGCCCAAGUGACAAAACAAUAGAGGUACUGGUGGAGUCCACAGGCUGUAUCCAAGAUGUGUCUCACAAACAGCCACAAUAUUUUGCUGAAGUGAAGAACACUGUGUGCUCAGCACUGCGUAGGCUCUGAAAGGACAGCUGUGGGGUCAGCAUUAGUCAUAAUGCCUUUUCUGUCCUUUGGGGCGAGUGGGCUCCAGCCCAGCACUGGGACUAAUGAAAUUGUCUGGAAGCAGCUCAGCAUAGUGGCACCUGGCCUCUGCCCUGGCUCUACAGAGGGUUCCGUGAUGGUUUGUGGCUGUGUCCAUGGCUCCAUGAGGACCGGGAGUUGCCCUUGCUGACCUGCCCUUAUCACUGAUACCCAGGACCUCCACCAUCCC